rnacentral:lncRNA from 1 species
CCAUCAGUACCUAAUUUAUUGAGAGUUUUUAGCAUGAAGGGCUGUUGAAUUUUGUCAAAGGCCUUUUCUGCAUCUAUUGAGAUAAUCAUCUGGUUUUUGUCUUUGGUUCUGUUUAUAUGCUGGAUUACAUUUAUUGAUUUUCAUAUGUUGAACCAGCCUUGCAUCCCAGGGAUGAAGCCCACUUGAUCAUGGUGGAUAAGCUUUUUGAUGUGCUGCUGGAUUCGGUUUGCCAGUAUUUUAUUGAGGAUUUUUGCAUCAAUGUUCAUCAAGGAUAUUAGUCUAAAAUUCUCUUUUUUUGUUGUGUCUCUGCCAGGCUUUGGUAACAGGAUGAUGCUGGCCUCAUAAAAUGAGUUAGGGAGGAUUCCCUCUUUUUCUACUGAUUGGAAUAGUUUCAGAAGGAAUGGUACCAGUUCCUCCUUGUACCUCUGGUAGAAUUCGGCUGUGAAUCCAUCUGGUCCUUGACUUUUUUUGAUUAAAUUAGUUGAUAACGUCUUCCAGGAGACCUACGGCCAUCCUACUGAUAUGAACCAGAUCAUACCUGCCCUGAUGGGAUGCCAGAGAAAGACUGCUGCAAGGUACGCGCCACUCACAGACCUCUCCAUUUAUCUCACUGAUGCAAAGGACCCUGAGUAGGGAUCCUCUGGAAACAGAACAGAGGGAAGAAGAUACCUUCCCUGAAGCCCAGAUGUUCCAGAAGCCUGCGCCUCAUUCACAAAGUCACCCCAAAAAUGCCCUAGAGUUUGGAGUUUUGAAGAAGCGGGAAGAAGGCCUGAGUAAGGGCCUGGGAACCAAGUUAGAUCCUACUUCAGCAUCAGCACAUGCCAGCGAUGGUGCACACAGGUGGAGAGCGGCCUGCCCGUCUUUUCCAUGGUGCCCACAGACCCAUUUAGGAUGAAAGAUCAGAAAAUUCUCUCCAUGUCACCGCUUCUGAAACAUGUGAAUAUUAAUAUUUGGUGCCUAAAAGGCCAUGGCAAAUUUUCAUUGGUUUUAUCUUAUUCAUGAUUAUAGAGUUGAAAGAAUACAUAUUCCCAUGGGGAUCAAUGAAGACAUUCUCAUUUUGAAUGAAGUAGAAUAUAAGUUGUAAAGAUAUAGAAUUUUCCUGAACUGAACCUUGAACCAAAAAUCCCCUCAAUUAACCUGGAACUAAACACAGUCCCUGAAGAUAACAAGGAGUUUCAGGAUGCCACAGGGCUGUCUGUGCAGUAUGGGGCUUCUUGCUCUAUCUCUGGUAUCUGAGGCAGAUAGGCUACUCAGGCCCCUCUCUGGUCUCAAGGUGGGCUGGCUGAGAUGUCAGUUUCUUCCUCAGUGACAGCUUGGGUACAGUAUGUGUAAACUGAUUGUCAGCUGAGCUGAAGGGACUCUGCCCAUAUUGGAGUGUUCUACAAGAAGAGGUGUCAAACCUAAAGGUCUAAAAUUACUAUGAAAGGAGUAUUGGAAACCACUGGGACAAUUGUGAUCACAACUGGUGGUAGCCUUCUCGUUUGGGUGAGAAAGACAGAAAGGAGGAAGAUGUGUUAGUCAAGGUUCUCUAGAGGGACAAAACUAAUAGGAUAUAUGUAUAUAUGAGAGGGAGUUUAUUAAGGAGAAUUGACUCACUUGAUCACAAGGUAAAGUCCCAAGAUAGGCUGUCUGCAAGUUGAGGAGCAAGGAAGUCAUUGGUGGAUUGUUCUGGGUACCAAAACCUCAAAAGUAGGGAAAUCGACAGUGCAGCCUUCAGUCUGUGGUCAAAGGCUCGAGGGGCCCUGGCAGACCACUGGUGUAAGUCCAAGAGUCCCAGAAGCUGAAGAACUUGGAGUCUGAUGUUUGAGGGCAGGAAGCAUCCAGCACAGGAGAAAGACGGAUGCUGGAAGACUUAGCAAGUCUGUUCUUUCCAAUUUCUUCUGCCUGCUUUUAUUCUAGCCAUGCUGGCAGCUGAUUAGAUGGUGCCCUCCCAAAUUGAGGGUGGCUGUGCCUCUCCCAGUCCACUGACUCAAAUGUUAAUCUCCUUUGGCAACACCCUCACAGACACACCCAGGAACAAUACUUUGCAUCCUUCAUUCCAAUCAAGUUGACACUCAAUAUUAACCAUCACAGAAGGAGAAUUUCAGGCUGAGUCCAAACACUAUGGCCCCAGCCCCAGCUUCCCCUUUCUGGGUUGAAUAACCAGACUGAGCCUAAGAAAAGGAAAAGAGUUGACUUUCUCCCAAAAGGCCUGCAGCGGGUUAGAAAGCAAUGGUUUGGGGACCAUACUGAGUGCCUAGGAUGCUCUGGACCACAAAGCUUGAAGUCAAAUUGUUCAUGCACUUGUUUCAUGAUAGGAAGAGAGAGAGAGAGAGAGAGAGAGAGAGAGAAAUUUCCUUUCCUUGAAGAAUGGCAAAACACGUCUCUUGUUCUGGGGGCUAUAUCUUGAAGGGUAUCUGAUCUCCCCCUCAUGGGAGGAACUAGAAUGCCCUAAGGCAGCCGUGGCUCCUGGAGCUGAGAGAUCUUUCUGACACUUUGUGAGAGCUGCAAGGCUAAGUCUGGAGCCAGAAAAGUCCAUGUGGACAAGUGCAGAGCAAGCAGAUCUGAGACACAUGUGGGAGCAAGCUGGACAUGUCCAAAAGUCAGAGGAAGCAAGAGCAGACAUGCAUGAGCAGGCAGAUGAGGCUGGUGCCCAGGCAGCAGGCUGAGGCUCUGGCUGGGCUUUGGAUGCUCCUGAGAGUCCAGUUAGAGACCAGUGAGCAAACCCACAGUGAACUCUUAUUCCUCACGCAGCAGGACGAGGGAUUAAGCACAAAGCCUUAAAGGUCUGAGUGUCUCUUUAUCCUGACCUCAGGAAAGAGAGGCAAGUAUCAUGUUUCUAAAAGUCUGAGAAGUCUUCACAUGACAGCCUACACCAAAAGAACUCAAAUGCACAUCCACUGCAUACACGCAUGUGUGCACACAUAUACAUGUGUACACAUGCAUGCCCACACACAACCCUCUGGAAGAGGAAGUAAAGAGACUUUAUGUUUUCAGCCCCUCUUGAGGAAACUUAAACUAAGUCUUUCUGUGGGGUUAGUGGUGGAGACAGAGAGGGUCUGGGGUCACCGAGGCCGAGGUGGCUGGACCCAGAGGGUAGAGCUGAGGGGAUCCCCUGAGACUGGGAAGAUGGAGCAGAAGCAGAUGGCAGAUGGCAGCAGGUGAGAGCAGACUGGAUUUCUCCUAAAUCACCAGAUCCAGCCAACCUUUCUUUCCUUAGGGACACCUCUAGAUCCCAUUCCAAAUGAACUCUUUCUCUGACCUUUCACCUCAAUUCAGAAUUUGGGAAAUUUAGCCAUGAUCUUAGGAACACAGAGGCUUGAAACAAUCUUUUCUAACCACCCGUUUGUUCAGACUGUGUAAGUUCUGCUUCUGCAUCCAGUGUCAACACCCAAGAACCAUUUUAAAGGGGAGCCAUCCUUUGAAAUUAAACUUCUUUUAAUAAUAAAGACAGAUUUCAGGGUUGACAUAAAAGAUAGCCACAGUAAAGCCAAUCCUCCAGUGUAUAACAUUUUUCAAAGUUUCCUUCCUCUUCAUUGCUGGUGUUCAUGUACAGUCCAGAGUUAGUCUACAUUAAAUUAUAGAUUGUUUUCAGCAAUAAUGCAAACAUUUGGAAGCCUUCAAACUCUCUGAUAACUAACUUCUACAUUCUCUCUGCUAUUAUUAUAUAGAAAGGGAAAUUUUACCUGAUGCUGUUAAAGUCCUCACGAACAUAGUGAUCCGAAUUGGCUGAAGUGGAAAACUAAAUGUUAGCUGAUUUUCAAAACAAGAUUUCCACUCUGAAUUCCCAUUUUUCACAUGUGAUCAUAUGCCUUGUUGUGAAGUUGAACUAAAAAGAAACUCCAUGCCCACUGGCUUAAUGCUAGAAGAUAAUCUACAGCAUAGUAAUUUCUUAGACUUCACUUUAUUAGCCACUAAACUUGGAAUGAUUAUUUCUAUGUUCAAUUAUUAAGUCUAUAUCUCCAUUUCUUAAAAAGGUCUGAGGCAGCCCCUUUGAAUAUUAAUACGCAUUUAUUUUCACCUCUCAAAUAAAA